rnacentral:rRNA from 1 species
CAGCAGCCGCCGCGGUAAUACGGAGGAUCCAAGCGUUAUCCGGAAUCAUUGGGUUUAAAGGGUCCGUAGGCGGUUUAGUAAGUCAGUGGUGAAAGCCCAUCGCUCAACGGUGGAACGGCCAUUGAUACUGCUGAACUUGAAUUAUUAGGAAGCAACUAGAAUAUGUAGUGUAGCGGUGAAAUGCUUUGAGAUUACAUGGAAUACCAAUUGCGAAGGCAGGUUACUACUAAUUGAUUGACGCUGAUGGACGAAAGCGUGGGGAGCGAACAGGAUUAGAUACCCCGGUAGUCCCUGUCUCUUAUAC